rnacentral:rRNA from 1 species
AGUGAACGCUGGCGGUAGGCCUAACACAUGCAAGUCGAACGGCAGCACAGUAAGAGCUUGUUCUUACGGGUGGCGAGUGGCGGACGGGUGAGGAAUACAUCGGAAUCUACUUUUUCGUGGGGGAUAACGUAGGGAAACUUACGCUAAUACCGCAUACGACCUACGGGUGAAAGCAGGGGAUCUUCGGACCUUGCGCGAUUGAAUGAGCCGAUGUCGGAUUAGCUAGUUGGCGGGGUAAAGGCCCACCAAGGCGACGAUCCGUAGCUGGUCUGAGAGGAUGAUCAGCCACACUGGAACUGAGACACGGUCCAGACUCCUACGGGAGGCAGCAGUGGGGAAUAUUGGACAAUGGGCGCAAGCCUGAUCCAGCCAUACCGCGUGGGUGAAGAAGGCCUUCGGGUUGUAAAGCCCUUUUGUUGGGAAAGAAAAGCAGCAGGUUAAUACCCCGCUGUCCUGACGGUACCCAAAGAAUAAGCACCGGCUAACUUCGUG